ACAAGGUUGUGAUUUCUAUCACAUGUUUGUUUGAUACACAAGGUCCUUCCAUCAUGUACCCACCCACACAUGCAAAUGAAUUCGUUUGGUGGUUAUAUCUUGAGUGGCAUCUGAAUACACAAGCGUGACUAAUAGUAAGCGUGAGUGCUAGAGAAGUCCCCAUUUAGCAUGAUGGAGAGCAGGAUUGUCCCCAUUUGUAUUUGGUUCACACAGUUGUAGCUUCCUUUUUCUACGGGUUGCAAUGAUAUGGCUUGGUCGCGGCUUAGGCCAGACAGAGAUGAUCCAGUACUAAUUAAGCAUCAUUGAUAAAUAACAAGAGGGGCAUGUGAGGAGCUCUGUCUUGCUUGUAAUAGCUAAACUAUUGUUACCUACUUAAUGAGAUCCAUCGUCGAUCUGCUCUA